AGACCUUGGUGCGUCUGCUCUGGAUUUGCCUCGGAUACCACUGGUGAAACAGCCCACUGCCACAGCCGUUCCAACUCCAGUUGUUGCUGUUUCUUCUGCCAAUUGGACGCAGAAUGGAACUACUGAUGCACGAGCGUCCCAGGGUUCGCAGCGUGGGCUUAUAUCUUGGCUGUUCGAUGCUCGCAAGCAUACAGCUAACCGCUCCCGAGAAAGGUCUCGGUCUGAAAAAGCUGUGGUUGGUACGUCACCAACGUACAGUUUCAUCGUAGUGUUUCGUGAACACGUAGCAAGGAUGUGAUGGAUAGCAUUUGGUGCGGCCAAUUCAAAACGAGUGGUCGUAUGCAUCUCUGUGCAUGAGACAUGGGUAUCUUGUUACCUUUUUAUGUGAAUCUCUUUGUGAAGCACCGGGAUAUACAAAUUUUUUUGAUGUAUGGCUAUGGAUGCUCUCAAGAUUUGAACAAAAGUGAGAUCCAGCGAAACAAACAAAACAAGUCAAGAGAGCAUUCGUAGUACUUUAAAAUAAUCCCACACACUUAACGAGAUCCUCCCAGGCAACUUGAG
rnacentral:lncRNA from 1 species